GCUAUAUACAGGGGGUACCGGUACAGAGUCAAUGUGGAGGCUAUAUACAGGGUAUUAUGGUACAGAGUCAAUGUGGAGGCUAUAUACAGGGUAUUAUGGUACAGAGUCAAUGUGGAGGCUAUAUACAGGGGGUACUGGUACAGAGUCAAUGUGGAGGCUAUAUACAGGGGGUACCGGUACAGAGUCAAUGUGGAGGCUAUAUACAGGGUAUUACGGUACAGAGUCAAUGUGGAGGCUAUAUACAGGGUGUUACGGUACAGAGUCAAUGUGGAGGCUAUAUACAGGGGUACCGGUACAGAGUCAAUGUGGAGGCUAUAUACAGGGUGUUACGGUACAGAGUCAAUGUGGAGG
ensembl:lncRNA